AGAGGAACCGGAUAUCCGACGUUUACGACACUUCCGGCGACGCCCCGCGGCCGUUACCGCUUGAACCACUCUGGCUCUAGGAGAAGAGGGCUAUCACCUGAAAAGGGGGCUGAACUUUAGUCCCUGCUGACAUCACCACUCCCAAGACAAAGAGCUGCCACUUUGGGAAUAUUGAGAAGAAACAGCGAAAACAAAAUGUCCCAGCUGGAAGGAAACUGGGAGGCCAGCUCAUCCAGCCUCACUGCUCCCAAAGCGAAAGGGCAGAAGCCACUUUAAAGCUGCCCUUCCUUUCCCAUUCAUUAACUUCUCAAGGCCACUGUGCCCCUACCCGUGGAAGAGGAGCUGCUCCUAUCCUCCCACUCCCCAGCUCCCCAGAUCUCUGGUCACUGCAGCUGACUCUCAGAGGAUCCCUGGCCCAAAGCCCUCUUGAUUCUGGACUGUUACCACAGUCACAGAACAAGUGGGAAGCAGGCACCUGUGUCAGAGGGUGAGUAGGUGUGAGAGUGGGUAGAAGACUGAUCAUGGAAGUUUGUGAGCAUAAAACAGAAGAAAACUGAAGAAGUUGGGAGAGGAGGAAGUCUGUGGUUUCAGCAUCUCUCAUUUCUCCUGAUCAAAUAGAAGAUCAAAUCUGUGCCUCAUUA